rnacentral:rRNA from 1 species
UCCAGACUCCUACGGGAGGCAGCAGUGAGGAAUAUUGGUCAAUGGGCGGGAGCCUGAACCAGCCAAGUCGCGUGAGGGAUGACGGCCCUAUGGGUUGUAAACCUCUUUUGCCGGGGAGCAAAGUGCCGCACGUGUGCGGUUUGGAGAGUACCCGGAGAAAAAGCAUCGGCUAACUCCGUGCCAGCAGCCGCGGUAAUACGGAGGAUGCGAGCGUUAUCCGGAUUUAUUGGGUUUAAAGGGAGCGUAGACGGCAGUGCAAGUCCGGAGUGAAAGCCCGGGGCUCAACCCUGGGACUGCUCUGGAAACUGUAAAGCUGGAGUGCGGGAGGGGCAGGCGGAAUUCCUGGUGUAGCGGUGAAAUGCGUAGAUAUCAGGAGGAACACCGGCGGCGAAGGCGGCCUGCUGGACCGUAACUGACGUUGAGGCUCGAAAGCGUGGGGAGCAAACAGGAUUAGAUACCCUAGUAAG